rnacentral:rRNA from 1 species
CGCGGCCUAUCAGCUUGUUGGUGGGGUAAUGGCCUACCAAGGCGACGACGGGUAGCCGACCUGAGAGGGUGACCGGCCACACUGGGACUGAGACACGGCCCAGACUCCUACGGGAGGCAGCAGUGGGGAAUAUUGCACAAUGGGCGAAAGCCUGAUGCAGCGACGCCGCGUGAGGGAUGAAGGCCUUCGGGUUGUAAACCUCUUUCAGCAGGGAAGAAGCGCAAGUGACGGUACCUGCAGAAGAAGCACCGGCUAACUACGUGCCAGCAGCCGCGGUAAUACGUAGGGUGCAAGCGUUGUCCGGAUUUAUUGGGCGUAAAGAGCUCGUAGGCGGUUUGUCGCGUCUGCUGUGAAAACUCGGGGCUUAACCCCGGGCCUGCAGUGGGUACGGGCAGACUAGAGUGCGGUAGGGGAGACUGGAAUUCCUGGUGUAGCGGUGAAAUGCGCAGAUAUCAGGAGGAACACCGGUGGCGAAGGCGGGUCUCUGGGCCGUAACUGACGCUGAGGAGCGAAAGCAUGGGUAGCGAACAGGAUUAGAUACCCUGGUAGUCCAUGCCGUAAACGUUGGGCGCUAGGUGUGGGGCUCAUUCCACGAGUUCCGUGCCGCAGCAAACGCAUUAAGCGCCCCGCCUGGGGAGUACGG